AACCCUGAGCUACAGGACUCCACUAGACAGAUCAAUAUCUUCAAAACUGUUCAAAUACUUGACUAUGAAGAUAAUGGCAAUGUUGGACAAUAUCCAUAAGUUUACAGACAGGAUUUUUGGCUUACAAAGUAUUUUUUAAAAAACUCUUUUGAAUGGUUCAGUCGAAUUGGAGACAAACGUAAUGUACAACUAUUUUUCACCAAAGAGACAAGUACUUGAAAGAAAGGGCUUGAUUUCAAUGAAGACACC